rnacentral:misc_RNA from 1 species
UCUUCUUCAGAAAGGCGAAGCUCAAUGAUGCGUUUCCAUGCAUGAGCUGCUUUCCUCAGAGUGUUUUUAAACAGUUCCUUCCUGCUUAGCAUAACUCUGUUAUCCUUUCGAAAAGCUGGAUCGCUUGCGACGAGACGAGCCAUGCGAUCGGAGACAUCGAAGGCGUGGCGGGAACCAGCCCAGACGAUCUUCAUAUCGUCGACAUCGAAAUUCGCCUUGUUCCUCUCGUAAACCAAGUGAUCGACGCCCUCCAUCGUUGGUGAACGAAAUCCAACAACCUUGUUGCUGCAAUGUUAUCGGACUUGUGAGCAAUGUAAGAAAGGAGAAAAAAGCGUGUGAUGUAACAAACAGAUCUAUCUUUUCA